rnacentral:rRNA from 1 species
CCAGACUCCUACGGGAGGCAGCAGUGGGGAAUAUUGCACAAUGGGGGAAACCCUGAUGCAGCGACGCCGCGUGAGCGAUGAAGUAUUUCGGUAUGUAAAGCUCUAUCAGCAGGGAAGAAAAUGACGGUACCUGACUAAGAAGCCCCGGCUAACUACGUGCCAGCAGCCGCGGUAAUACGUAGGGGGCAAGCGUAAUCCGGAUUUACUGGGUGUAAAGGGAGCGUAGACGGUCCUGCAAGCCAGAUGUGAAAGCCCGGGGCUCAACCCCGGGACUGCAUUUGGAACUGUAAGGCUAGGGGGUCGGAGAGGCAGGCGGAAUUCCUAGUGUAGCGGUGAAAUGCGUAGAUAUUAGGAGGAACACCAGUGGCGAAGGCGGCCUGCUGGGCGAUGACUGACGUUGAGGCUCGAAAGCGUGGGGAGCAAACAGGAUUAGAUACCCUAGUAAG